GAUGCUUUUUGCAACCAAACAUUUCUCCCCAGCCCAUGUUCUUCUGCCCUGGUUGUUUUGGGUGGGAGUUUUUUGCUGUCGCUGGCAAUUGCAUUUAUUUCAUACUGUAUCCCCUCCUUUCACAGAGACAAGGAAAACCUUGCAGCAGCAUCAGAAAACAGGCCUACAGGUACCGCGCAUGCGCCCCAGUAUGUGACCUCGAGUAUUUGGCAUCCUCCUAAGUCAUCCACCAGGGAUGCCAACACUGCCAAUGCUCAGCCAGUGGCCUCCAAGGGGUCUGUGAGGCUUGGAGCAGGUACAAGCCAGGGGGAGGCCGGUGUUGGCCAGAAAGCCCCUCUUGCUUCAUCCAGUAACCAAAGUACCCCUGUUGAGCAUGCCCCGGUGGCUCCCAGUCCUGCUGCUCCUGCACCACAUGCUUCAGCACCUCAGCCUGCUACUGCUGCUCCAAACACAGCCAGCCUGAUGACAGCACCAGCCACCACCUCAGUAGUGCAAGAGUCUUUCUCGUCCUCCUUCCAAAGAAACACAAUCCAGUCAUAUACACCAAUGCCAGUUUCUGGAAGCUACAGUGAAAGUCCUGCUUCUUCUGCUGCUUCAAAAAGAGUUGUUACUACUGCCAGCAUAAAGCCCUCUGUCUACCAGCCAGGUAAGGAGCCUUCAAAGUAAUUAAAAUAUUCAGAAAAAAAUGCUCACACAUUUCUUUUGGAAAAAGAAAAUGUAGAAAGUACACAUUUUGCACACAGACAUACCAGAAAGUAUUUAUACAUGUGGAUCUAAAUGUUGCUAGUUUUGCCUCAGAUUAUUUAAAGAUUAAGGAUUAUGUUGUAUUUGUAUUCUACUUCAGAACUAAAACGUGAAACAAACAGAGGGGAAAAUAAAAGCAAGGGAAAAGUCUAAUAAAAAGGUCUAACCUGAUUUUUCAAAAGAAAUACAUUUGAAAAAUAACCCGUGUAUCCAAUUAGGAGCCCAGUGACACUACAGAAUUGAGAAAAUGGCUAAAAAAGAAUGCACAGUUCAGGAGGGAGGUAAAAUAAGUGGAGUUUGCUUGAAUAGGAUAUAUUUGCAAAAUAGGUAAGACCAUAUAUUGAGUUUCUCAAACUUAGGCUUAUAUUUGAAAUAAAGAAUGAGGUAUUAAAGCACCUCAUAAUGCUAUCUCAUUUCCCAGAGAUAGUAACCUAAGGAAUAUAUUUGGUUAUUCAUUCAUUUGGAAAAUAUGCUCUUUGAUAUUAUUUCAAUUCCCUCGAUAUUAAUGUGUUACAAAUGGACUGGGCUUCUGAAACCAUUGAUGACCAAAAUGUGAACCUUCAAACUGAGUGAAUUAAAUGAGAAACCAAUUUAAGUCUAAAGGCAGUUCUGUUUCUAAUUAAGGUUUUUCUGAUCUUAGCAAGAGAAUUAAAAUGUUGAUUUAUAUUUUUACAGUCAAAUAAACAUGAAAAGGCCAAGAAUUCUAAGUCUUAAACUCUGUCUUCUGUAAUCUGGAUCUACUGAACUUAAACAAAUGUAGGAAUUUUAGUUAGACAUAAAGCAGACAGACAAAUCAAUUGAUCUUUAUAUUUGAGACAUAAAGGUAGGAAAAGUCAAGUCAGAGCUCUCAUGAGCUAUUUAAGGGUCUCAUAGUAAAUAAACCUUCAGCUCUUCCUCAUUUGCUUUAGUUGUGUGCCAGUGUAUACCAUGUUCUCAUUCAAGGCAAAUGCUAUUAUUUUUGACUUGAAAAGACAACGACAACAGAUUUUUUUCUAUAAUGCAGAAGACAGCAAACUCUGGCAAAUCAAAAUACCUCCUAAAUACACUGACUGAUUUUAAACCCUGUGCUCAUUUGGGGAAGUAUAAACUCCAGUUCAAUAUACAAACCUGCCACAUCUGCAGCUAUUUCCAAUUGUUGGCUGGAUCUGGUAAAGUCAAAGCUGGCUGUUGAAUUCCACUUGGAAUAAGAGGAAAGGCUUUUGUUUUCUCCUGGGUUGGGCAUUUUUUUUGCACUUCCUUACAUUCCUGGUGUUCCUUUGCAAUUCCUUCGGUUGCUGCUUUUGAGCCUCAUUGCCUCUCAAUAAAGGCUUAAAUAGUUGGCAGAGAAAGAAAAGGUCCUCCUGUACUGUUUAGAAGUUUGAAAUAUCCAAUAAGGGAUUCUAAAAUGCCUUCAUAAUUGAACCCUGAAGUGACUCAGUUACAAGAGAGGUUCCAGGCAGAGAUUUCAGUGAAGAUGUUUGGUUCUUGUUUUGGUACUCUGUAAAGUGUACUUUAUAUUUGAUGUAGUAGCACUUCAGAGUGGUUUUGGAGCAUGAGCUAUCCUCAGAGACAGUUGCAGAGCAAAUGGGAAAUUGCCACUUGGGAAGAAAUGGACGAAAUAACAUUUCCUGUAACAGAUGGGAAAAUCAAUAGUACUUAGAAGCAAACCACCAAGACAGUUAGAAAACUUCCUCAUCCAACUUUGUCAAUGAUUGGCUUCUCUUGGAAAUGUGGGGCAGCAACUUCCAUAUUAAAACACCAAUCAACAGGCUCAUAUAUUCAAUACAGAGACUCCUGAAUCAGUCACUGAGAGGAUUUACAAGGCUAUUUUAAUGUCACAUUGAAAAUAAAACCCAAACAAACUAAAAUCUCAAAAUGAAACUGCAUUGUUAAGUAUCUGGCUCAGAUGGGAUUUAUCAGGCAGUCUACAUCUCCCUAACCUAACUCAAGUGGGAAAUUUUCUGCUGCUAAAGAUCCUUCGUUUUUUCCAGUAGAGAAAGCUGUGAACUCUCAAAUCUUCUCCCUAAAUUUCAUAACCCGUGUUUUAAAGGAGCACAGACUUCUCUUCUGAGCAAGGCCCACUAGAUGGCAGAACAUACCUGGCUGUUCCUUUCCCGAAGGCUUUCCCAGGCCAGCAUAGGCUUUCACGUAUCCCAAACCACUCCAGCUCCACUUCUGUACCACGAAGUAACGCGAUACCUAAAUGUAAGAAAGCAGAUCUUUCCUUUUAAAUCCCUAAGUCCAACUGGGCCUACUUGUGUAUGCAAAAUUGGUCAAGCAUAAAGGCCUGAUCUGCUCUUUGAGGAAUUGGUAGAGAGAUUCUCACAGUUCUUAAUGAAUUUUAUAUUGAAUCCUAAGCACCUUCCAUACUAAACCAGAAGAUUCCAUAUAUUUCACUUUAGUUCCUAUAAAUUAGAAUAUUAUCUCCCUAUAAAACAUCAUCUGCUCUGUCAUCUACUCUGUACUGUAACAGUAUAUGGGAAAACUUUGGGAUUCAAGGAUGUGGCCACUAAGUGUAGAACAAAUCAUCAGUUGUGGUUAUUAAUUUAUUUUGUUACUGAUAAUAAUAAAGAGUAACACUUAUGUCAUCUACUAACAAAAAAAAAA
ensembl:lncRNA